AAAGCACAUCUUUCAUAGUGAGUUGUAAAUCCUGAAUAUCAACGUAGGGAACAAGAGCCUCUAAAGGACCAACAGGGCUCCAGGUGCUGAACCAAAAAGAAGAAGAACCUGAACCUGUGCACCAAGAGUAGCCGUCCUUGAGGACAUUUUUAGCAUGAACAAUAGAAGACCAAGUAGGCGAUCCUUUAGAGUGAAUACUGGAACGAAGGAAGGUCAGUCCCACGAUGUACUUGUGAACAAGGAGGUCCACCCGAAGUUUCUUCGAAGACUGUACCAUGUCCCAAACAAGUUUGCCAUGGAGGCAUGUAUUUGCUUCCCUAAAUUACUUUUCAUAAAAAACAAAAAACAUAAAUUACUACGCAAUGUUUCAUUACAACCACCACACCAAAGAGGCUGUGACACCAUGUUGUCGGUGACAUUGGUAGGGCGAAGAAACAAACAAACUCAGCAAGAAUUAUGUUCCUAUAAUUUUUUCUUUUGAUUUCAGUCUCAUUAUUUUAUUUUUCUUGAUAUACAUUUGUUUGUGUAAGGAGGAGAUAGUCAUCUUGACGUCAAUCAAAGGAGUAUUGAUGGAUGAAACCACAACCCUAGAUGAGGUACUCUGCCUUCUCUCACUCUUGUUGGUCUUUGACUCUAUUGAUUUUUUUUCUACAAUUCUGACAUGUGAGUAGCAAAAAUGUACUUAAUUUAGUUUGGAUGUGCUGAUGGCAUAACUAUAGUCUAUUUUAUUAUACUGGACAUUUAUUCAUGCAUAAUUGCAGGUCUUUGGCAUAUUUUAAAAACUCGACAAAUUCACAUAAAUUUAAUCUCAAAAUCUAAUGUUGUAUGUGAUUGGUAGCUUCAAAUUCACCGAUAAUUGAAUUUAAUUACACGUGUCAGUGUAGUGUCGAUGCUACGGUGCUCUGUAAUUUAGUUUGUCAUAUAAAUGAUCAAAGUUUUUGUACCCAUAUAUUAUUUUUAGGAAUAUUUCAUUCUUUAAUUUGUUGCACAUAUUGAAAGGAAAAGACUUUAGGUUAAAAAAGUGAUCAAAAGAAGCAAUGUUUCAAGCAUCUACUAGUACAAAUUAGGGCAAUCAAUAUGCUAAUCUCUUGAAGUCAAUCACUAUAUGGUGACUAAAAAAAAUUGGAUUAGUACCAUAUUAAUCAGUAUACUCUUUUUAUGGCGAAAUCACACUGGAUGAGAAUCAUAUUAAUCAGUAUACUCUUUUUAAGCAUCUACUGUAUAUGGCGAAAUUUACAGGCACAAAGUACUCAGAAGUAGGGAAUCUCGGGUUCGAACUCACGCCUUCUACACAUCAGGCACACAUAAACUACUCUCCAUCUGUGAACCUUUUUCCCUGAAUAAUUAAUGGGUCAAGCAACGGCUCAGUUAAUUGUUUGGUUUUGCAGAGUAUUAAAGAUGUAUGAAACCAUUAAUCAGGGGACACUUUUGCUGGUAAUUAAUAAGUAAUACUUGGCUUUUUUGCAGCAUAGAGUCGUUGGAUAUGUCCAUAGCUACAUAGAAUAGAGUGAACCGAAUUUGGCUUUGAGUUUGAUUAGAGUAGUUGGAUAUGAGCAAACACUUUGCUCCUUAAUGUAGCGUCCUCCUUCAUUCACUCCUUUGUUUUUCUAUAUUUCUUUUGGACGUUCCAAUUUUUUGAAUAUGGGAUGAUAAAAGCAGAUUCAACUCUUCUUGAUCUCAACUCUCCAUUUACAGGUCUGGUCCUGUUUGCAUAAACAAAGAUUGAUGAAGUGGUGACUUGCAACUCUCCAAUUUUACAAUUGAACUUGAAGCUGAUACAGUUGUUAAAAGACUCUAUGGUGCACCUUUGAUUGCUGAAAUUGAACCUUUAAUUCUAGAUUGUUUAGAUUAUAUUUCUAAGUUGGUGAAUGUUUCAGUUUGCAGUAUUAGCUGGCAAUGUAACAAAGUAACUCAUGGCCUUGCUAGCUUAUCUAAGUUUCUUGGUUGUAAACUUGUAAUAGCUGUUUAGCAGACUAUUGUAACGAUUUGCCUUCUUCCUAAUGCAAAGUUUGGUUUAUG
rnacentral:lncRNA from 1 species